CAGAAGCGAAAAAUUCCAUCGGGGCUUACAGAAGAUCAUCCGCUUACGUUGCCGUGUCACUGGAUGCAGCGGUAACAGCCGAACCGGUUGACUGAGUAUCGGUUCCAGUUGGGGGUUUCUCGUUGAUACAAAACCAGGGCGAUAUUUGGGAUGCGAAAUGGCGUAGACGAUCGGAUUGGCGAUUGAGGCACACUUGCAAAUCAAAGCUGGUAGAAUAGUGACCAUUGGUGUAAUGUUAUCCUGAUUGCCGACAGCUCCUUGCAAAACGAUCGUGGCGUAGGGGGUCCACAUUCCCACCCAAAGUGCGAUGUUUGCCAGGGCAACUUUGGCGAUACGAAUCUCAGCGCUCUGGGCAUUCUGGUCUACAUUGGAGCGCAAUGACGUAACGUUCAUCUUCUUCGCUUGCUCACGCAAACUUUUCUCGUGAUGAAAAAUAGCUUGAACGAUAUGGUAGUAACAGUAACUGAUAAUUAGCAGUGGCGUGCAAUAGUUGGAGACAAACACGCAACACGUGUAGGAUACAAUCUGUUCAAGAAAAACGCUGCUUACAAAUGAUUAUGUUCCCUAUUUUUGUAUAGAAAAUUUACCCUAAUGUCUCGAGUUAGGUAAUCAAAACCGCAUGAAUCCAAGAUGCCUUCAGGUAUGAAGGCCCCCCAUCCAAGGAAUGGGAAAAUGCUCCAUAAAAUUGCGUAGCACCAGCAAAAAGUGAUGAUGCCUGCAGCUUUUUCUGUACGUAAAAUCCAGGGCAUCCAUUAUUAGCGCACAGAUAAACAGUAAACAUCUCUAGUGUAUGCAGUGGUAAAGCAAAUCAUACUGUAAGUCAUGCGCGGCCCGUUCAUUCCAUUGACGAUUACGUUGUAGCGAUCGUAACUAAUUGCAGCCAUGGUUGUAAUGCUGCCCAAUCCGAACACAGAUGCUGUGCAAGAGUAAAGCUCGCAAAGGAAAGGACCGAAGAGCCAAACACCUCCGUUAAAGCUGUUGUAGACGAACCAGGGAAAUUGCGAGAUCAUCAUGCACAGGUCGGAGAAGGCCAGAUUGACGACAAACAUAUUGGCUGGCGUUUUCAGUUCUUUGGUUUUAGAAAAAAGGUGAAGAACCAGUCCGUUACCUAGACGACAAAGCGACAAAAAACAGGAUGUGCAAAUUUCGAUUUUAGAUUUGAAAACGAGUGGUAGUCCUAAUUUACCAAAAAUGGAGAUGGUUCCCAAGAUUAUGUUCAGAUGGUAAAACUUGAGGAAUUGAAUUACCAGGAUGUAGUGCCACAUCGGAUUGACCGGAGGAAACUUGUUCCAGUGAGGAUGGAUGGUUGCCCUCAUAUCUUCUGGAACCGUAUCGACAAGCGAAGCUCCUGGAGGAUAUCCCCACGUCAUUUGCUCACCGGCACGGAAACGAAAGGGAGCAGCUUCGCUCAGGUGAAUCUCGUUCAACUCCUGGAUCGAGACAAGUUUGGAUCACCGUUAACGGUCUUACCGUGAACAAUCGUGUUUCCGGUGCCUUACUACAAACCGGAAUGGGAAGUUUCAUAAAAGAUAUUGCCGAAACCCGGGAUCGAACCAGGGACCUUUAGAUCUUCAGUCUAACGCUCUCCCAACUGAGCUAUUUCGGCGAUAUGAGUGGUAAGUUUCCUCAAAUAAUAUUAGGCUGUUUUAACUUGGUUAUUUCCGUAAAUGACGUCAUAGCUCUUUUUUUGGUUGUCUGUAUUUUCACUUAUAAGUUAGUGAAAGCGCUAAAGCAGUUUUGCAAAGAUAAAAACAGUAAAGAUUUAUAGAACUACAUUAUCGGUAUUUAUUUUAGUUAGUAUUCAUUUAAGUUAGUAUGAAUUUUUGCUUUUGUUUUGCUAACUCAAUUAUUUCCCAAAUCUGGCUAUAACAAUCCCCGUAAAAUCAUUGGAUUUGAAAAGAGAUAAAUAGGCUAGAAGAAACAUGUAGUUUACAGUUAUUGUAUAUAUUUUUCACCAGGUAAAACUUGCAAACAUAAAGGUUGACUUGAUUACAUUAGAAUGAGCUAUAUAAUCUUUCAGGUUAACUAAACAGGAAAGAGUGUGUUAACAAUCCAACUCGAAUAUGAUAUAAUAA